UGUCAGAGCUGGGAAGGGGGACACUAAGGAAGGAAACUGGAAUCAUGCUUGCUAAAAGUUCACCUCAAUAAACAUCAGAUUGUUUGCACCUUCAUACUUCGGGUAUUGUUGCUCUCUAUUCAUGGAAGAAAGAACUCUAACAGUAAA